rnacentral:rRNA from 1 species
GUUAAUAGCAUACUCAUUUUGACGUUUAGCUGCAGAAGAAGCACCGGCUAACUCCGUGCCAGCAGCCGCGGUAAUACGGAGGGUGCGAGCGUUAAUCGGAAUUACUGGGCGUAAAAGCGCAUGCAGGUGGUUUGUUAAGUCAGAUGUGAAAGCCCGGGGCUCAACCUCGGAAUUUGCAUUUGAAACUGGCAAACUAGAGUACUGUAGAGGGGGUAGAAUUUCAGGUGUAGCGGUGAAAUGCGUAGAGAUCUGAAGGAAUACCGGUGGCGAAGGCGGCCCCCUGGACAGAUACUGACACUCAGAUGCGAAAGCGUGGGGAGCAAACAGGAUUAGAUACCCCUGGUAG